rnacentral:lncRNA from 1 species
CAAGUUUGGUUCGGAGAUGAAGGCUACGCCCGCUGAUAAACUACGCCGACUCUGAUGAUUGCCCGUGAAGGAGGAGCCUUCACCGCUGACGCGCUACAUCAACUCUGAUAUAGACCCGUGUGUGUUUUCCCGCUAGAAAAACGAUGUAAUAGGCUUGUUGACCAAGAGUUGUAAAGUAAAUGUGUUGUAAUCUUGUUUUUCACGAUGUAUGACCAUGAUAACGGCUGAUAUAUGAUAAUGUGAUGGCUCAAUUUUUGAAUUAUCACAUUAUAAUUCGAAUCUGUGGAUUUUCCCCUUUGUGGAAAAAUCUAGGUCGUUUCAAUCCUUCCACCUAGACCCAAUGAGAGGGUCGUUGGAGUCAAGACCAACCGGAGCGGCGAGAUCAGCAGUAUUCGCUACACUACGGAGGAGGAAAGGCCUUACUUUGAAGGGAUUAGAGCAGCCAAAGUCCGUUUCAUCCCUCCAAAGGCAGCCCCGAAGCACGCUCUCAAUGCUUUUGAGACACCUCCCAAGCGUCGCAAGACUACAAUGGAUAUUGAUGAGGACGUUCACAGACUAGACAGAGUUAUCAUAGACCUCCAGUCCUCGAUUAAUUCCCUCACUAGACAGCUCUCUAACCACAAUACUAUUAUACUAGGCCUUAGGCAGGAUCUUACCAGUGCCAACAAGAAGAUCAAGGAAUUAGAGCGCUGCUAAGUUAUCUAGAUUAGACCUUGAGGCAAUGCAUCUUAGUCAUCUAUCUUUAAAUUCGGUUUAGGUUUACUAUUAUCAUCAGUUUACUAUUAUCAUCAGUUUGCUAUUGUCAUCAGUUUGCUACUAGUCUUUUGUAAUAAAUGCCUCCAGAUUAAUGAAGAGUAUUAUUAUUAUUAUUAUUAUUAUUAUUAUUAUUAUUAUUAUUAUUAUUAUUAUUAUUAUUAUUAUUAUUAUUAUUAUUAUUAUUAUUAUUAUUAUUAUUAUUAUUAUUAUUAUGUCUUGUGUGUCUCUACUUUAUUUUUGUGCAAGAAAGCAGAAAACAAGUAUGGGGGAGAUCCCUCGACAUGCCAAACACACUCCGACCACACCACUCCACGAUUCAGGUACACACUCUGCACACUUUACUUUACACGUACACAUAUCUUGAUUAUGCAGAAUACUGUUUCUGACAUGAUAAAUUAAAAAGAUUAAAAUAUUUCUAAUCAUGAUUAAUCUCAAUCUGUGAUAUUUCCUGAAAACUUGCAAUUAUUGAAAAUCAUUUAAAAAAGAAACCCUGUGUUGCUUAAAGACAGUAUGAAAUGUGAUAUGGUAGAGUAUGAGUUUCUUAUUCUUGAUAUCAUUGUUGCUUGGAGAAUUCAUUUCAAAAUCUUUAAAAUUCUAGCUACCAUCCUCAGUGUUUUAUAUGCCUGAUAAAACUGAAAAUAUUAAUUAUAAUUAUAAAAGCUAUCUACUCUGUAUUGAGUUUGUUCAAAAUGAGUUAGAUCCUUGUUGAGAGAUUUAUCAUGCUCCUAAGAUCAAGAUAUUUAUUGAGAAAGAUUCACUCUUCCGAAGUAUUAUUGCAUUAGAGGCAUGGGCUAUGCAAAAAUAGAGAUAUUUCGAGGAAAUAAAAAGGAGCAAGUGCUCGACAACCUCGUAGAAAAAAAAAAUGGACAAGUGUCCGGCAGUAGAAUUAGGGAUACCUCAGUAUCCACUUAAAAAAAAGAGAGAGAAAAAAAGAGAAAAUGAUAGCCCAUGGUUCCUCUAAUAAGCAAUAUGCCAGCAAGAGUUGAUAAAGAUUUUAAUUUCCAAAGUCUUUGAUCUAAGAGUAUGACAUUCCCCUCCUCGGAUCCUGUUUUGAUCAAGCAAUAAAUGCAAAGUAAGUAUGCUUGAGAAUUUUUGCAAAUUAAAACAGCCUCAGUGAGAUAUAUAAAAAAAUAAUGAGUGAUCUGAGAGAACCUAUGAGGAUAAAAAGGUAUGCUAACUUUCUUUCAAAAAUAUACAAAAACUCCAAGUGACAGGAUUGAGAAGAAAGGAUCUUUACUCUUAACCAUAUACUUCCCUGACUACAGUACACAGUGAUUUUUAACACCCUGCAAUUAUAAAGAGAAUGUUUUAAAUGUUUACGCCAGAUAUUUUCUUAACCAUCAUUUUCUCGAGGACGAGUAAAAGCCUAAGUAUGGGGGUAUUUGUUGACGGUUCUUAAGUAUCAAUUUUAAUUAUCAAAUAAACAAGAGAAAGGACCAAUAUGCAAACAACACCUAGAAUUAGGGUUUGAUCUGACAGAAUUCCACGAGUUUUGUUGUUUAUCUGUUUCUGCAGGGGGUUAUCAGGAAAUAAGAAAGAAAGACCCACAUGUCGGGAUUACAUAGAGAUAUCAAGGCACCGCGCGAUUUUCUACCAUCUAAAAGACUCCAGAAGCCACGAGAAGAAAGCAGAGGCCGAAAGGGGCCAGGCCCAGGGCGCCCGCCCUGAGGACCUGGGUGCCCGCCCUCUCCUGUACUCCGUUCGGGACUCUCUUCGCACACGAUGUUCCACCAACCUAAUGGAUCAAAGAUAAUGUAGUACCACCUCGCCUACCGACCCAAAAACGCAUAGAGGAGGAGGACUAUAUAAGGAGACCCCCCUGGCCCCU